rnacentral:rRNA from 1 species
GACGAACGCUGGCGGCGGGCUUAACACAUGCAAGUCGAACGGAAAGGCCCUGCUUUUGUGGGGUGCUCGAGUGGCGAACGGGUGAGUAACACGUGAGUAACCUGCCCUUGACUUUGGGAUAACUUCAGGAAACUGGGGCUAAUACCGUAUAGCAUCUCCUGCUGCAUUGUGGGGGUUGGAUAUUUUCGGCGGUUGGGGAUGGACUCGCGGCUGAUCAGCUUGUUGGUGGGGGAGUGGCUUACCAAGGCUUGGACGGGUAGCCGGCCUGAGAGGGUGACCGGCCACCUUGGGACUGCGAUACGGCCCAGACUCCAACGGGAGGCAGCAGUGGGGAAUAUUGCACAAUGGGCGGAAGUCUGAUGCAGAAACGCCGCGUGCGGGAUGACGGCCUGCGGGGUGUAAACCGCUUUCGCCUAUGACGAAGCGUGAGUGACGGUAAUGGGUAAAGAAGCACCGGCUAACUACGUG